UUUUACAUCUCGUAAAAGACUUAUGCAGAUAACAACUGCGUACCUAGGAGAACUAGGAUUGGACUCCUUUAAAGGAGGAAACAAAAUG
rnacentral:ncRNA from 1 species